UACGGGGGGGGUAAGCGUUGUUCGGAAUUACUGGGCGGAAAGGGCUCGUAGGCGGCCCACUCAGUCAGACGUGAAAUCCCUCAGCUUAACUGGGGAACUGCGUCUGAUACUGGAUGGCUUGGAUUCGGGAGAGGAAUGCGGAAUUCCAGGUGUAGCGGUGAAAUGCGUAGAUAUCUGGAGGAACACCGGUGGCGAAGGCGGCAUUCUGGACCGACAUUGACGCUGAGGAGCGAAAGCCAGGGGAGCAAACGGG
rnacentral:rRNA from 1 species